UACGUAGGGUGCGAGCGUUGUCCGGAAUUAUUGGGCGUAAAGCGCGUGUAGGCGGCCAUCUAAGUCGGGCGUGAAAUCCCACGGCUCAACCGUGGAAGUGCACUCGAAACUGGAUGGCUAGAGUCCUGGAGAGGAAGGUGGAAUGCUUGGUGUAGAGGUGAAAUUCGUAGAUAUCAAGCGGAACACCGGUGGCGAAGGCGGC
rnacentral:rRNA from 1 species